rnacentral:rRNA from 1 species
CAGUCAUGCCGGUGAGAAUCAACUUCGGGGAAGGGGGAUUUUUUGAACCUAACCUUGAAGUGCACUUCUUCGCUUGGCAGGUUAGCGUCGAUUUUAAACGUCAUAAAAUGAUUGGGGGAAGGUAGCUCUUUCGGGAGUGUUAUAGCCCUUAAUUAAUGUGAUAUUUGGGAUCGAGGAUUGCAACGGAUACCUUUUUAGGCUAGCCGCCUGGCCUCUGAUUCGAUGUCGGGUUAUAGACAGCACGCUGACUAUGAUCUGAUUAUUGGUCAAAAGGUUAGAGCGAGCAUAAA